GCGCUGCUAGAACAGACAUCAUACGUUGAUGACGUCAAUGUAUCGCGAGAGCGAGUCAAGAAAUUACACUCUCGCGGUACAUUGACGUUAUCAACCUGUCAGCGCAGCAAGAAGUCGAGCACACGUAUUUGCGGGCGCGCGCCUCCGUCCUCGUGAGUUCAAAGUGGAUUUUAACCGUUUACCUCCGACGACAGUUUUCAUUUCUAUGGCAAAUUCUAAGGUCAUUUUCUUGUUGUGUUUUGAUGUUUUCCAUUGGCUGAAGACUAAGAUGAGCCUGAAGAGGAGAUUUGGGAAGUCUUUGCUUUGCCAGAUCACCUGUGGUCGGGAUGUCUGCUAACAAGAUGCCUUGUUGGUCUGGGCGAGUUUGAAGUCUCUCACAGACAGUCCAGAAGGUCUGGAGUCCAUCUUAGCUUUUAUUGGUAAGUGACUGCACAAAAGGCUGUUUGACCCACACGUAAAGCAACCAGUCAAUGUUUGCUCUGUUCAGCAUCUCUUUGGGGG